AUUGAACGCUGGCGGCAGGCCUAACACAUGCAAGUCGAGCGGUAGAGAGGUGCUUGCAUCUCUUGAGAGCGGCGGACGGGUGAGUAAUGCCUAGGAAUCUGCCUAGUGGUGGGGGAUAACGUUCGGAAACGGACGCUAAUACCGCAUACGUCCUACGGGAGAAAGCGGGGGAUCUUCGGACCUCGCGCCAUUAGAUGAGCCUAGGUCGGAUUAGCUAGUUGGUGAGGUAAUGGCUCACCAAGGCGACGAUCCGUAACUGGUCUGAGAGGAUGAUCAGUCACACUGGAACUGAGACACGGUCCAGACUCCUACGGGAGGCAGCAGUGGGGAAUAUUGGACAAUGGGCGAAAGCCUGAUCCAGCCAUGCCGCGUGUGUGAAGAAGGUCUUCGGAUUGUAAAGCACUUUAAGUUGGGAGGAAGGGUAGUAACCUAAUACGUUGCUACUUUUGACGUUUACCGACAGAAUAAGCACCGGCUAACUCGUGCCAGCAG
rnacentral:rRNA from 1 species